UCAUUCUCUCUCUAUCUAUCUAUUACUCUCUAGAAGCCCCCUUGGCUUCUCCCCUCCGACGGGGUCUGUUCACCUUCUCCGAUCGAUUUUCUCACCGGAACCUAUGGCUCCUCACUAUUUCUUGGUCAUCUACCCAUUUCUCAACCACUCAGUGAUAUCCUAGGCUCUUCAGAUGAACCUGGAGCGGUUCACUCCCCCCCCCCAUAGGUCUCUUGCCAUUUUUCGGCCAACCCCCGGCCGUUUGAGUAAGUUUGCAGUUUAUCCGGCUAAAUCUAUGUCAUUCAUGAGGUUUUCCCUCUUUUCUGGUUCCUCGAAACCCUAGUCCUCUUAUUUUAUGUUUUCUUUUAAGAUAUGUUCUAUAUUUACGGUGCUAUGAAGUUUCUUUAUGUUUUUCUCUAGAAAAUUCUGUUUUUAACAAUUUCAAGAACUAAGGUUUCUCGAUCCUGAUCUCAAAACAGUUUUCCUUUGAUUUUUAAACGACUCUACUAUGUUUAAGUGAUUAUUUUAUUCUUUCUUGUGCCUUGAUUGUUAUGCUGAAACCCCAAUUUUUAGGUUAAGCUUUAUUAUGUGUAUUCGUUUGUUGCUUAAUUGUUUGCACUCAUGUGUUCUCUGUGACUCCUGUUUAAUUCACUAUUAUGACAUUUUGCUGUUGAUUUCUAUGAAUAUCUCUUCCUGUUAGUCAUAUGACUGCUAUUUAAAUGCUUUAUAAUUCUGACAUUUACCCUACUGGUUCUUUAUUUGAUGAUUUUUGUUGAUCCUUUUGUGUAAAAAUUCUGUGCUUGUGAUGUUUUCCUUAAAUACAUGAUCUUGUGUAUUCCUUCGGUAGUUUUGUACCAAUUUUUGAAUUAUUUCUAUAUUUAUGUGAUGCUUUCCUUAAUUACUUUGGAUUCCAUGUAAUUAUAAUUGGAUCCGGGAUCCUCUUGGUUGAUUCUCAAACUUAUGCCAUAUUUUUACUUCAUAAAUACACUGUUGUUUCAACUUUCUUUAAUUACCCACUAUGUAUUUGGCCUUGUUUAUGCAAUAUGAUUUCUUUGCCCUAAUCAGCCCUACUGAACUGAUUUCUUUUCUUUUUUUUGCCUUGACUAACCGUUUGAACUAGACUCCUUAAUUAAAGGAGCCCAGUUGUCUUAAUUGACACUAAUUGAUUUCCAUUUUCAUGUUUAUGUGCUCUUUGCCUAUGUACUACGUAUUUUUAAAACUAUAUAAAGACAUGUUCUAUACAAACACACUGAGAUUCACACAUACACACAAACACUGAGAUUCGCACAUACACACACAAAAAUUGACAUUGAGAUUCACAUGAACAAAGACACUAACAUACACCCACACAAAUUGACAUUGAGAUCACUGAUCACACAAACACACCCAAAACUGAGUAAUCUCUACUGCUCUUGUGCUUUUGCAUACUAUUGCUGCUCUCAUACUGCAUAUUACUAUCCUAUCGUGGCUCUCCUUGUCCUGUAUACUGCUACUGUUGUGCUAUCUCUAGUACUUUGAUGUUCUCUACUCUCUAACUUGUAUGUUUUUUUUUCUGAUUUAGCUUUAGAGCAUCUACACACAAUAUUCUCCAGUUUUUGCUUACUUACUUACCAUUCCUUUUGUGCUUCAUCCUUUGGUUCCACUAUUUACCAUGUAACUAGCUUAACCCCUAUCAUGUCUUCCCGUUUUGUUAAGUUUGAAUGUGUAUAUUGUUUUCCAUAUGGUUCAUUGUAAUUAUGUCAUAAAUACACUCAUAUCCCUCCCUUUCUUUGAGUCUGGCUUGUCCCUAGUUUAUUCUAAACUCUAGUAUGCUUAUGUGUUCAUGGGUUGUUGUUCCUCACCCUAACCCAAUUUUUGUUACUUGCUCUUAUUAUGUGAUUAAACCUGCCUCUCCAUAUAUCUAAGUGUUAUGUAAUCCUGAUUAUAUUAGCUUGUGCUAUUAUGUGACAACUAUGUGGUAACUAUGUGAUAACUAUAACUCUAUCUAAAUGAUGAUAUCAAAGUUAUUUGUCCCCAACCCUUACCCUUGUUUGUGUUUUCUCUUUCAUGAGUUCUUUACCCGCUGGUUGCCGUUGUAUUGCCUCUCUCUGUGACAAAAUUUUUUACCAAAAUCCUUCAUCAUUUUCUGAAAUCAUCUUUUCAAAGUUGUUGUCUUAACUAAUCUUUUCAAACUUAUAUUCUCUUUAAUCUCCAAGUAUCUCCCUACUACAACUAGACUCUAGGUACUGCCCCCUUUGAGUGAGUACUACCUUGGGGACCUCUGAGUACCCAUUGAACAUUGACACACAAGGCUAGCUUUCUACAGUGCACUUACUCGUCCUUGGCUACGGUGCCUGGGUGUGAGCACUGUCGUGGGAUCUUCUUAGGUCCUUAGAGACUAUGACAAACUUGGGUUGGAAGUCCAUGGCAUAUGGCAAGUGGAUCUGGUACUUUAGGCCUACUGUUAGGCCUUAUAAAGUAUAGCUUCUUGAUUUUUCUUUCAUUCAGUUGUGUAAUUUUUGGUCAAUAAUGAUUAUUUGUAAAACACUCCAGGGCUGGAUAGUGAAAAGAGUGGGGAUAAUGCAUGCUUAGUAUAAUUUUUGGGUAGAGAACAUGCUUUAGGAUUUACUUCUUAUCUGUGCGCAAUAGAGAUCCUGCGUAAGACAUGUUUGCAUUAGAUAUCAUGUUUUUUUAGGUCUAUUCAUGUAUGCAUCUCAUCUCAUCCAUGUUCAUUUAGGGAUCCACAUAGAUAUUAACGAUGUUAACUACAUGCUUCAUCAGAAAUAAUGCUAAAAAAUGUUUCUUUUUAAACAAUGUUGUCUCCGCAUGCAUAACUCAUAUGUAGAUACCCUGUUCUUAAGUGUAUUAUCGCUAUUUGCAUCAGAAACCACGUAUUUUAGGAUCUAUUUUCGGCAUGUCUAUAUUUUAAAGUUUGGUCCAAGUACUCAAUUCGACGCCUAGGAAAAACUUAGGCCUAAUGUUUGCUAAAAUAAAAAAAAAUCAAUUAUUUAUGCACCACCUAUUUUAUUACAAAAAAUGGAUUUCAAACCAAUCAGUCAUUUUUCUGGAACUCAUUAAAACCUGUUGUUUACCACUUUUUCACAUCUAGAAUUCAUGUUUAGGUUCUGAAUCUGAGACCUUCAUUGUUGUUUGAAACGUGCUAUUUACAUGCCUUACUUGUGGAGGGAUAUAUGAGCCAUAUAAUUUUUUAUGUGUACCCCAUAUGUGCAAGUCCUAAUUGUUUCUCUACUUGUCGUUUAGAAUUUUACCCUUUAAAACCUAGGGGUUCAGCCUAGUACUCACCCUGUAGAAUUAGUAGUCCUAAACACUCUCCAUGACUUAUAGAACGGGAUGGGCAAUAGCAUGCAAUAAGCUUCAUGACCAACACACACGCUUUAAUACCUUAACGGGGUGGGAAGGGUAGAUAUGGAUAUGAUGACUGGUGCGUUAAUACCAUGUGCAACCCCUCUUCUGAGGAGUGAUCGUCGGGUAUUGUAUUGAUGUGAUCCAUAUUAUUUGUAAACCUAGGACCCCUUCCCUUUACUGGUUUAUUUUAUUUUGUAACUUUUUCUUCAAAAUUUUAGCUUUCUUUAUUUCUUCAACUUUAAUUUAUUUGCAGACAUAUGUGAUAAUCCCUCAUACUUGAAAUAUUUACUUGCUUACUUGUUCUUUGUACGUAAAAUCACAAUUGUAGCAUGGUCAGAAACCACACUAGUGGAUCUUGAGGGUACCUAAUACCUUCCCCUUGACAUAAUUUCUAGCCCUUACCCAAACUGGUUUUUCAACUCAAACCCUUUUUUAGUGUCCUAAUGCACUUUAAUCAUUAGAUGACGACUUUUCAAUUUAUAACUCAAUUCCCAAAAGGAAAUGAGUUGUCCGUACAAAUGUCAUAAACCCGAUUUCGCUUUAGAAAAAGGGGGUAUCGACACAGAGUAGUGGUGGAAACUUAUGUAUCACACUCACUCCUUGAGAGUUUUGAGAUGCAAACACCAAAGGGAGUGAUAAAGCAAUAGAUUGCAAUUGAAUGGAGGCCAAAAUUUUGUUGUGAUUGUAUAAGAUUUGGUCAUGAUACAAUGGAGUGUUGGAGAAAGACAAAGCAAGUAAAUGAGGAGGAAUUUAAGGAGAAGAAGGAUACUUCAACAAUGGAUGCAGAAGAUACAUGUUUCUUCAACUUCAAAUGAUGUAAAAUCAUCUAGAACUCAAAAAGAAGAGCAGGUAAGAAUUCCUAAUGCAGAAGGUGUACAGCCCAUAGCUAAACAAGUUCCUACAGAAGAUCUAAACAUAGCACUCAGCAAGAUAGGAGCAAGUCAAGGAAAACAAACUACCAUUGUUAGAGGAAAUAUAGUUGUUGCAACUACCUCUAGCAAUAGGUUUGCAAUCUUACAAACUCAACUCUCAGAUCAGGAGCCAAGGGACGCUGGGCUAACUAGCUCUUCCCACUUAUGAAAAUCUAUACUUGGAAUAUAAGAGGACUUAAUAAUCCCUUUAAGUAGAAAGAGCUAAAGAUCUUUCUAGUAUGUACAAAAUAGAUGUAAUUGGGUGUGUAAAAACAUUGGUAAAUGAGAGUAAAGUUGGGAGAAUUAUAUAGAAGGUGGCUAAGGACUGGAAUGUUUGCUGUAAUUAUAAAGACCACCCAAAUGGUAAAAUCUGGAUAAUGUGGAAAAACAAUGUAAACAUCUAGAUCAUUGAG
rnacentral:lncRNA from 1 species